UCAUUUUCAUGUUCAUCGUCUUUGAAUUGACAUGAGGAUAUCUAUGGAAAAGUAACUAAUCUGAAAGUAAGCCAACAUAUCGUUUGUCCUUUGUGUGCUAAAGAAAAGAUUUUCUUUUCGCAUCAUGAGGAAGUAUUACAUCAAUUAAAAAAUGUUAGGAAGUUGAUUACUUGUCAUGGAAAAGUAUACCAAUGGAAAUUAUUUGUUAAAGAAGUAUAAUUCUAAGGGUUUUAAGAAUAAAUUGGUUGAACCCAAAAUCUGGAGGAAGUACCUAUAUCCAUACACAGAAUAUGCCCAUUAAAAAUACUAGUCCAAAUUUGCUUUAAUGGUAGACAAUUAUUCAAUACAAAUUAACUUUUUAAGUGACUGAAAUAUUAAAUAGUUUAGAAUAUGGUAUAACAAUGUAAAAAAAUAUUAUUUUCAGGAACGAUUAGGGCCCGAUAUAUUUGAAACUCAUGUUGGACAUAGUAUUGAGUUGGGUAGAAUAUUAUUCUACGUUAAGUGAGGGUAUCAGAUACCUAUUAUUGUACUGUAUUUUAAUAUAUACAUUAGAAUUGUUGGUUUUUU